UGCCGGAAUCCGAUCGCGUUCGGGAACGGUGUCGGAACGCCGUUUGCGGGUAUGCGGAAUACGUCUUGUUCGUUUGCAAAUCUUACAAAAUAGCCGACAAAAAUCGGCUAAAGUACGGAAUCGUGUUUUGUUUUUGUUUUUUUUUUUUAUACGAUGUUACAGCCCCUUAUCGCGCGGACGUCCCGCCGACUCCGCUCAUACCUACGUAUCGUUUUUGAAGCUUUUCCCGACACCCCGCAGCGACCUCGAGUCUUCUCGACGAUGUUUUCGUCUUUCGAGUGUAUACCAUGUGAGUACCCAUCAAGCAUAAUAUGAUACAGCCAAGUUGUCUUGUUUGUCGUCGUCCGUGCCUAUAUAUUUAAAUGAGCUUACCAUAAUAUAAUUAUCAUGUCUUUAGUUUAACACCGACGUUGUUCGAUUUCCGGCGCAAAACACGAAAUACGCUUUUGCUGCAGCAAGUAUAUCGACACGACCGGGAAACCAGUGGCGCGUCUAAGAUUUUUACGGACCAGGGCAAAACAAUUUAUACCUCAACUCCUUCCCAAUUACACGAGUGCGAAAACAUUUAAACAUUUGUUUUAUUUUUUUUUUUAAACCGCCGAUGAUUCUUUACUCUAGAAAUUACCACCUAGAAUCGUUGAAAUUUCGCCACCUUUUUCGUCAUCCCUCUAAAUGCGCCAAUGCGAGUAAUCGAUUCUGUCUAUAAUAUUAGGUACUUAUAAUAGACAAACGAGCCAAAAACUCACACCAAUAAUAAUAUUAAAAUAGAAAUGGCACAAAUAAUACCGAAAACGUUCUCUCUCUGCAACCGAACUUUCCGUUCUAUUUGUUUUUUUUCAAUCGGUCGUUGUUAUAUUAUUAUAUAUAUAUAAAACAUUAUAACAUAUAUAUAUAUUCUGUAUAGCGUUCGACCCCGUCGGCCAUUAAUCACUAUGGCAACCGAAUUCGCGUUUGGCGAUAAUUUUCUUCCAUUUUUUCCACUCCCGUAGGUUCAGUUUUAAUUAUUUUAAUUUGUAACGAGAACGAAAAAUCAUCUUGCCACCGCUAUCCGCGUGCACCCGCCGUCCCCCUCCUCGUACAGCUUCCUACCCGAGCGCCCGUAAGGCAAACGUCUUCGAGCGCUUCUCCUCUCUUUGUUCCCGUCCCCAUCACAUCCGAUCGCCGUCCACUCGUCUUCUCGCCACUAUCGCCAGUUUUUCCGAUACUUACAGCUACUGUAUACAUUUAUCUUUCGAGCGGGCAAAAUAAUUGAUCGUAUUCCAUUUGUGUGUAGUAUCGUAUAGUCAAUUCCUGCCCGUCCGUCCGUCGGCGCGGCGCAACUUUACCUCGUACACCGCUGCAGAUAUAAUAUGGAAUAUUCUAUAGAUAGCACGGUCAAUUGAAAAACGAAUAUUAAAACCUCACGAUUCCCUUCUGUCAGUCCUGCCGCCAGCCGGAUGAGACAUUUGCAAGUACUCGUGUGUUUUUUCGAGCGGUGUACUUAUAUUAUACGAGCAUCGACGAGAAACACGCCGCGGAAACGCGCAAUCGUCUCGCGAAAAUAUAUGCCUGUACGCACUUUAAUUACUAUAUCCGUAAUAACGAUUUCACUCGCCCAGUUUUAUUCGCUUCCAAUCAUUAUUCUAUAACAUUCCAAUAAAAAUAUUGCAGCGAUAUUAUACUGCGAUAACAAUACCAUUAAAUAUAUAUAUAUCGAGUACUUGGACACCUUGUCUGGCCCGGGACGACGGCAGUUUGUGUAGUCCAUUAAGGCGGUAAUGAAUUUAUAUUAGUGUAUACGUACAAUCAGUAAUGCAAUCAAUAUACUAUAUAGUCGUACCCGCGGUAAAAAUCCCACCUUUCGUGGUAUUUAAUAGGGUGAAUUUAUGACUGAUCUUUCGAGUUGACUUUCGAAAGGAUAGAGCAACAAUGUGUGAUUUCAGAACUUGUAUUGUCACCAAACAUAAUAACUAUUUUCGAACACGCCUAUUUUCAAAAAUAUCUACUAUUUUUGUAGUCGAAUAAUUUGGAUGUAUAAUUCAGAAAAUCUGUAUUAAUGUAUCUAUUUUGAGUCUCUUUUUUUAUUCGGAUAAAUAGUUAUUUUUUCACUUUAAUUGCAUCCGGGUUCGCUAUAUGAAUCAAUCUCAAAAAUAAUCGCUGCCCAUUUUUUCUCUUAUUUCAUAAAUGAUAAAAUUGGAAAUGGAAAUUUUAGGUGACCAAAAGAGUAUAAAGUCUGUGCUCCAUUGCAUUAUAACCUUCAGAUAUCUGUACAUUAACUAAAUACUUAUCAAAAGUCCAAAACUAAAACAAUAUUAUCGUUCAUAACAUCUAAAUCAUCAUUUAUAGAACUAUAAGUAUGCAAGGUACUUAAUAAAAUGUACAAUUAUAAACAUGUAUUUUAAACUAGCCUUUUGCCAAAAUAGAUAUAGUAUUAUAGUAUGCAAAUCAUAGACCAUUAGAAAUGUAGGCAUUUAAAUAAUUAGUUAUACAUUAUUUUAGUUGUCAUUACAUUACAUUUAAGUAUGAAAAAAUUAUACGUAAUAAAUAAUAAUAUAAUUUAGUAGACCGCUUAUCAGUGAAGGUGUGAACUGAAGUUUUUCCAAACAGUUCAAGAUUCGGUCAUUCGGUGUAUUGAAGCAGUUUAAAUACAUAUUUAAAAAAAAAAAAUGAGCACUGGUAAUAAUUUUGAUUAUUUUUUCAAUAAAAAUAUAUUUUAUAUUAUCUUGAAUUUUGAAAAAAAAAACAAUUUCGGGUGACUAAAAUAAAUUAUACUGUCAGAGUGUUUAAAAUGUCCAAAUACUAGCCCGAAUUAUUUGCAUACCGACAAUCGAAAUUAUUGCUUUUAAUCUAUUGCUGGCUUUAUUCCUAAAUUUUAUUCCAAGGGUAUAUAUAGGUACCGACCGGUGGUGAUUGGUCAUUGGCAAUGUCGGAAUAACGAUUUCCACCACCGCGCGCCGACCGCAUUAAAUCGUCCCAAUCAACACAAAAAAUAUUAUUAUUUAAACUGUAAAAUAAAUAUUUAAAUGCCAAAGUAAAAUAUAAUAUAUAAUUAUUAUAAAUCCCCGUCUAUAACGGUUGUUCGAGAACAAACAAUACCAAAAUCCGUAUGUUUAUUUUUAAUUAGUUUUGUGAUGACGUAUAUUUUAAUUAAAUCAUUAAUAAUAAUAAUAAUAAUAAUAAUAAUAUAGGUAAUACUUAAAAUUAUAAAUUAGUCCGUUAUCGAGUUAUUUUUAUCGUUAUGGGAAAAUUAAUAAUUUUCCACCCGGUGAUGGAAGAGUCGGUAAGCCCGCGAGUAUCAAAAGAGUUCAAAUUACUUUUUCGAACAUUUAGAAAGAAAUUAAAAAAAGUUUUAAUUAACAUACCUUUCAAUGGGCCCGCCGCACUAUAUAUAUAUAUAUAUUCACUCAGAAUUGUGUACCUAUUAUAUAUCUAGCUAUAUAUAAGAACUUGAAAGAAACACUAUUUAACAUUUAUUCGAAUUAUAAAAAUCAAUAAACAGUAAACGAUCUUUUAAUUUGAUUAACUUUAAAGUUUAUAAAGCUAAAAGUCAAGAUGAAAACUAUGUACAAUAUAAUAGUAAGUACUAGGAAAAUUAAAUUAGAAAAUAUUAUAUUAAAAAAAAAACUAAAAUAGUCUCAAUACAUAUAAUGAGAAAAAAGUAAGGAAUAUUAAGUGGCGCAGUCAAGGAGGAGGCAAAGUUAUUAUUACUUUAAAUAUUUGUACGGCUUGCAAGUGGCCUAAUAUUUAGUAUCCUAUGAAAAAUCCUAUCUUAUCUAGAAAUUCAUAACCCCUCCCGAAAAUGAAUCCUGGUUGCGCGACUGGAUACCUGUAUUUCAUAGAUUCUGUUUUAAGUCGUUAAUAAAUUUUGAAUUCGUCGACUGAAAUGAUAACUAUUUUUUAUUAUAUUAGUUACUCACAAUUAACACUCUAACUUCACGAAACUAAAAUUAGUAUUUUUAAACCAUCAACAUAAUUCGCAUAUUACACGAAUACAUCUAUUCACCUAUUACCUAUUUGGGGUCAAUUAUAAAAAAUAUCAAUUGAAUAUUAUAGGUAUACUUUUCCAAAAAGCAUAUAUUUAUUUAAUUCUAUAGAAAAUUAUUGUUAUUAUUUUUCAGUAAAUAAUUAACCACAUAAUUCCAGGGUUUUCUCGUGCAUUUUUAAUUUAAGUAAAUAGCAUCACUAUAUUGUCUGCAAAAUUGAAGCCAUUAACAAUUAACGAACUAUUUGUCUUGUUAUUUAUUUUAAAAAUAAUUUAAAUUUAUAUAGAAGUUUAGCGGUGUCCAAGUCGUGCAUAGAUAAUAAUUUUCAUUAAUUUUAAAUCGAGUUAAGAUAUUAAUCGAGGUAGAAAAAAAAAGUUACAAUAUAUAAAUUAAAGCGAAAUAUUUGACCCGAUGAGAAGUAUUGGAUUUUAAAUUUUCCUACACGCAAUUAAAUGAUAAAAUCGCAUAACAAUUUGAACGGUUUAAACUUUAAAUUGAUUCCGCGGAGAAAUUAUAACUAUUUUAAUUACACGGCACUUAUUACAGACAAGUUAAGGUUUGGUUUGUUGUUUAUCAACAACUUUUUCUGACGGUGAAGUCAAUUUUUUUGAUUUAUACAAUAAUAUGAAUACUGCAUAGUAUGAUGUUUAUGAAUCGAAACGUCUGAACAAACCGUAACUUGAGACAUAUCUAAUCCUGAAUUAUUUUACUAUUCUUAUGGAACUCGAGUGUAAAAUGUCAAAACGUUAAAGCUGCACAUGAAAAUAAUUUAACUACAGAUGCUAUGUAUAGUAAGUGAAUAUAGAAAUAUUAGUAUUUAAAAUGUAACAUUGAUACGUAGUAUGAAUCGGACGAUUAUUGUUCGGGUCAUACAUUGAAAUUUAACCCUAACUCGAUAUAACUUUGAAUCGUUUAACUUAAUGAUAGAAACAUGGUAACGCAAGUUUAAAAAUUAAUUUAGCCCUUGUUCCUGUAUAACGAGAGGUAUUUCUGACCUAUUGUAAUAUAAUUCAAUAAUUUAUUUUGUUGCAACAUCUUACGUAAAUACAAAUAUAUAAAUUUAUUAAGGUAUUUCCAUACGUAAUGAACUGAAGUCAAUAGUUUAAAAUGAAACUACACCAAGGCUAUUAAGAUUCAAACGUAUAUUUUUCUUUUCUUUCGUGACUAACGACUUCGAAACCGAUUUUUAUAAUGUUGCGUUAGUUAAUUGAAUAGCUAUUUAUUAAUUCGUCGGUUUUAAUAUGUAAAAAUAUGAUUAUUAUAAAAUGAGUAACUGAUUAAAAUUUAAUAAAUAAUUAUUAUUUAUUUUUAUCCGUGAUUAUAUAUUUCAAUUAGAAAACCUCGUAAAAUAACAAGGUAACUCGAGUAAGUAGUUUAUAUAUUGUUAUAACCGUUCGUAAACCACCUGUUAAAUUUUAAUUUCUACCACGAAAAAUCUGAACAGACAUCGCCCCAUCAUGAUAAAUCGAUUAAAAAUUUAAUUUAAAGACCAAAGUUAACUAAUUACAGUAUAGAUUAUCCGUGUCAGAGGCCAGAAUGGUUAUUUCACAAUAAUUUUUAUGAGAACCGACGCCGUUCGAUCGUCGAUGGCCGGCCGACGACUCCACGUCGAAUUAUCGACAUUUAUACGUUUAAGACCACCAAAAAGUUUUUAAAACAUUUUAAUCGUAAUCCAGCGAUUUUCUCCUAGGAUUUUAAGUAAAUUUAAUUUCGGUUUUUUGUUUUUUCAUUUUACGGAAUUGGUUAAUCUCAUCGCAUAUUUCAACAUUAUUUUCAAAUUCCCUACUUCCCAUUUCUUAUACCUCAAAGUAUGAGUGUGAUCUAUUGAUUUUCAAAUUGCGAUUCCCAGCUUUUCAAUACAGAUUCGACGAAAAAAUAAUAACCACCUUAUACUCUCUAAUAUACUCCUCUGGUAUAAAUUAUUUAAACAGUGCGAUGACAAUAAAUCUUAAACGGCAAUAAAUUAUGAGUAUCAAUAACUCGAUAAUACGCGUACACGGAAUAACGGUAAAAUGUUGCAAAUUUCGUAAACGCGAUUCGAUUUUACCAAUAAAAUGACCAAUAACCAAUCCAGAAUCCGUUUUACACGAAAUUCCUGUGUAUCGAUCAUUGGCGUACGAUUUAUCAAACCGGACACGAUUAUGAGCGCGGAAACGUCUGAAUGAUCGCGCGUCCGUACAACGACGGCGACGGCGCGUCAAUUUACGAGGAAAAGAUGUAAUUAUUGUUUCGGAAUUAGUUUCGUUUAGAGUGUGUGUGUGUGCGUGUGCGCGCGCGUGUAUAGCGGAACAGGGACGGUGCGGCGGGGGUAAUGAUAAAAAAACGGUCGCCAUUAUUCUUACUUAACGGAGAUUUCGAAACGGGGGCGGACCGGGAGAAAAAAAAAACCCUUACUUACAGGACGGGAAGUGGAAAAAAAGGGGACCGAUAUAUAUAACUCUUUGUAUAUAUAUAAAAUAUAUACAUUUUAUAAAUACGAAACGGUUUUUUGAUGAUGGUGCGGAUGUAGGGGGGGGAGGAGGGAACGGGGUGGCGGUGCAACACGCCGCGCCGCGGGAACAGUGGGCGAGGGGGAAAAAAAAAAAUACGCGCGCAGAGACGUUGGCCGGUGGCGGCGGCGGCGGCGGCACCGUUGUCGGCGCGGCGGCGGGCCGGGGGUGGAGGCGAACCGGCCGAAGAGAAGAUUAAAUUUUUACCGACCCACCUUCUUUUCGUAUGUACGCGCGGGCGGUUAGCGGACAGCGGUGUACGGGGCGCGGGAGGGAGGGGUGCGAUCCCGGAGAGGAGGGUUCCAUUAAAACAGAAACCACCCCUGCCGCCACCCCCGCCGAUCCGCCUCUCCGCCCGCCAUGGCUGUUGGUCUUGACGGGCGGCGGCUAUACACAACACGACGACGAUUCCGCCGCCGCCGCCGCCGCCGUUUUUCAUAUCGCACCGCCGUUUUUCUUUUUAACCCUCUCCUCUGCCCCCUCUCUGCCCCCGUCGCCGUUGCAUUUCCAUGAAAUCUUUCAAUUUUAUCGAUUCGGCGGAAGGAAGUGUUGUCUUUUUCCAUUUUGACGACGACGUCGCCGUCGUCGUCGUCGUCGUCGUGUACGUUCUAUAUAGGGAGUUGAAUAAUUUUUCGCUCUCGGCAUUUUUUAUUUAUUUAUUGCGAUUUUGCGUGUUUUUUCUCUUUUUAUAGAUUCCGAACGUGUGUGGCUAAGAAUAAUAAUAACACGGCGUAGGUUGUACUAUAUGAUGUAUUUUUUUUUCCCCGUAGAUUCUGAACAAGGAACGCAUUGGUUUUACUGUGUUGUUUAGAAAAAAGUAAAAAUAAUUUAUAAUCAUUAUUUCAUUUUUUUUUUUUUUUUUAAUCAAUAUUGACGUCCGCUAUACGGAACGAACCAACAAUAAUGCAGCAAUGACUAACAAGUUUGAACACGCCAUAAUGUCGCAGUAUAAAUUCGUUUAGCUCUGCAGUUAUAAUUAUUUGCGUAAUAAAAGGGAAACCGCGCACAAAGGCGCGUAUCGGCUAUGUGCCCGCGAAUUCGUCACGUCACAUCGAUAAAACUUUUGCUGACACGUCCGUAAUCGUAUUAUUAAGUCGUUUGUGUUAAUCCGUUAUUGGCUGCCGGAGGGCGGAAAAAAUGUCGAGGAAAAGGGUUUUGAAAAAAAAAAAAAAAUUUUGAAUUAUACAAUACCCACCGUUUUGGUUUUUAAUAAUUAUUUCAUAUUUGUGAUAAUUUUACGUUUUAAAUAAUUCCGAUUUGCAAUUUUCUGGGCCACUGAUUAUCCUGAUUAUCCGAGAUUUUUUCGCGAUCUUAUCGGCUAUAAUAUUAUCGAUAUUAACCGAUUACUGUUGUAUGAUAAACGAUAUAAAAUUACAACAAAAAACGGCAAGUUAAACUAUAUAUUGGACCUUUACCAAAUAUGUAAAUAUAAUUAUUAAGCCCUGCAUUUAUUACUAUUGUUUAUCAUGUAAACGUGUGGAGCAAAAAUGGCAAAGCGUAUUAGACCAACCAGUGAGGCGUAUAAAAAAUAUUCUGGAGCUUCAAGGACAGUGGUUUUAAAAACUAAGGGUUUAUAAUGUUGUAUACAAAUAAAACAAUCGUAUGAGUGAAAUAUGUUAAACCAAGUAUUUCGAUUAGAAUGCCAGUAAAUAUUAAGUAUAGGUUAGGUAUGUAAAAACUAUAGAUUAGUCCCUAAUAUUGAUAAUCGAUAAUUAGUUCAAUCAUAAUAAGUACAGAAAUGUAAACAUAUUGCUGUCAACUGGAACAGUGGCGCCGUUUAUAAAUGCGUUUGUCGGGACUGUUUGUGGGAACUGAAGAGUGGUAAAGAUAUUUUUGUCAAUACUUACACUAAUAUGUUUUAUCGAAAAAAAAAAACGAAAAAAUCAGACAAACCGAAGGAAACUGAUUAUGCGGUAAAUUCAUUAUUGGUACAUGUGAACCGUUCAAAAUAAAACCAAAACAAAUAUUUAAUUAAUAAAAACAUGAUUUAAUUUACAUUAUUGUCAGAACGACAAAAAAUAUAUAUGCGACCGGUUUUAUGAAUUUCACUUGAAAUUUGUCAAUCUGUAAAGAAAUUUCGGGGGUGAAGGCUACGGCAUACGGCUGUCUCCCCCCCCCCCCUCUAAAUACGCUACUGGGGCCAAAAGUACAAGAAAAUAUGCCAAUUUAAAUGGUCAUAAACGUAUAGUGUAAUAUUUUCUAGCAUGAUGGUUAUAUUAAUUAUCAUACCGCACGCGUUAUGUCCUGCCGAUAAAACGUAUAAUUUAACCAUCAAAAUUACAUUUUAACAGUGUUUUUAAAACGUUAUAAGUGUACGUGGUAUUUCGUGUAAUCAAAAGCUUUAUGCUAUUACAUUACUCGUGUUGGACGGCGAAAACGUGUUAUAGCACGUUUACAAUAAUUUAAGGUUUUAUAAACAAAUUAAAAGGUACGUAACUGACACAAACAAGAUACGGUGAUUAGCCGAUGUCAUGAGGGAUUUAGCUCAUCGUUUCGCCCUCAUCGUUUACACUGCACGAACCUACACUGUAUUGAACCAUUACAGCUAUUAAAAUGUAAAAAUAAUAAUAAUAGUAUAGGUAUACUCGUACGUAAUCGUAUAGAAUCUAAAAUUUUAAAGUUGCGAAAUACCGAAUACCUACAAGUAACUCAAAAAUGUCCAGUUUUUUUGGAAAUAUGAAAAAAAAAAAAAAAGGCUAAUUUAUGUAAUUUGUGGAAAUAUCAGCUUACUACAAUUAUUUUUAACCGAAUAACAUUUUAAAAAACCUUAUUUUUAAGAAAUUAAAUUAUUAAAAGAUAUUAAUCGAAAAUGUAGAAACUUCUGUUGUCGUAAACUUUCCAGUUUUUCACAAUUAUUGUAAAAACUACAGGAAAACCGUGAAAUUACUUUCUCGGUGCACCAACUAAAUACAAAAUUGCUACAAAAACCUAUUUUGUAUUUUUUUUUUAAACACACGCAUUAGAACUUCUUAUAUUUUCCUCACUGCACUCAGAAUCUAAAAGCUCACAUCAUAAUAGAACUAAUGCAAAUUGAAAUUGAUGAAACCAUUAUAAUUAUUGUAAAUUUCUUCUUUUUCUUACGUUUUGUUCCCAGUAAGAAAACUAGAUGUAAAAUUAGUAAUCUCCAAUAAAUAAAUUAGAUAAAAUUCCUUUAAAAAGAAUGCUAAAAUAUCGGAGGAAAUAUCUGGUAGACAAAUUGUUAAAAUAUCACGAAACAACCAAUAACUAUAGGUAAUCUCACUUAUACCAUAUAUAUUAUAAAAUAUUUCUGUCUGAGCAUAGAUUUAUUUAUUUUGUUUAAGCUACAUUUAUAACUGUCGAAUAAUAAAAGUAGGUAAGGUAUACGGUUUUAAGUUUUCGUUAGGAUUUCAAAGUAUUAUUUCAGUACAGGCUUGAUAUAUUUUAUUAUUUUCGAACCGGAAAAUACUCAAACAUUUAUCUCGGCAUUAUUUUAAUUAAACAGAUCGUUUUAAUAAGCAAAAAGUACAAUUAUUAUUGUCAAUAUUCUAUGGUAUUGAUUUAUAAUUAUAAAUUAUAAUUGAUUAAUUAAUCGAUAGUAAUUGGAAAAAAAUGUAAAUAAGCAAUAACUACCUACCUAUACUCUGAAUUUGAAAUAAUAUUUUUUUUUAUUUAUCGGAUUAAAAUGUAAAAUUACAAUAAAAAUACACUUAAAAUGUAAAUAUAUAUAUGUAUACAUGGAUGUUAUAUAACGGCUAAAAAGGUUCAAUUAUUAUAAUUUUUACUUUUUUUUUUUUUGUGUGUACGUUUUAUUUAACCAAAAUAAAAUUAUAAUUGCCAUACCGAGAACGGCCAUACUAAUGGAGAGGGGAUGAAAACGAAACCACUAUAAAAAUAUGUAUAACAAGCGUAAUUUAAAAACCCCGUGAUACUACAAAAAUGCGUGUUCGGGUUAAACAGUUUUCAAAAAUGUAAUUAAGCGAACCUUAAUACCUAUAUAAUAAAUUGUAUAAAACAUAUUAUACACUAAUAUUUCAAUGUGCGCUCUGUUGUAGCGUUCGGGUGGAUUUAAAUUUAAAAUAAUUUCGGUUUUUUCGUUGUAAAUGUUCGCAAAAAAUAAAACAGACUGAUACUGCUAACGGGUGUGCAACUGUUCUAUAAGGAAAGUUAAAAUGAAAAAUGUAUAGAUUAGUUUAAUUUAUAUCUAUAUGUAUCAAUUAACCAUUUCUAGGUCACGAAAAACGCAUACAAUCAACAACAAAUUGCCAGUUUUUCUCAUUUUUAAAGUAAAUCAAAAAACACUCUCCUCAACACUCCAACUAUAGAUCGAAAAUUCUACAAAAAAUUGUCUAUACAUUUUUAAUUUGUGCAGGAUUUCUUAUAGGAAAGUUGUUUGCGGAAACAAAAAAACACAUUAUAGAAAAAUUAAUGCAUUCUAGUCUGAAACUGUCCAACUAAGUUUAUUGGUUUACUUAAAUAUUUAGUACGCACCUACUAUAAUGAUGCUCGUAACACUUAUGUAUACUACCUACUUAUAGUUUGUAAAAAUAACUGCAUAAUAUAAAAUGCAAGAUUUUUAUAUUUAUACAAAUAUCUUUAAUAUUCCACUAUUUUAUUUUCAAUAUUUUAUCGCCUCUGUCCGUUUAGAUUCACAAUGUCCCGGUCAGUGUACCUGUACACUGUCUUCGAGCAUUGUGUCACACCGUCCCGAUUUCUACUUUGACCGUAACGCAUUAUAAUAAUAUAAUAUCAUUAAUAUCUUUAACAACGAUGAAACGUAAACUUUUAAACGGCCGUUCUAGCGAAUGUUUCGCGCUGAUUGCGGACGACUGGCGGUGUUAUAGCGGAAAACUGCGCUCUGAUAAAAAAAAAAAAAAAAAGGAAAAACUUGACGUUCAGCCGGAACUGCGGACGUUUCGAAAUCGAAAAACGUCCAAGGAUUUUGCCGACGGCGACUAUAGGGAAAGAAACGUCGACUUACGACGCCUCGCCCGCGCCGCCGUAUAUUACGCGAAAACGUAAUAUGUGUUAUUGAGAAACGGUCCUCGGGUAGGAAAACAUACGGGCGACGACGGCGGCGGCGGACUUCCCCGCGGUCGGCGCGUGCCGGAUGGACGGGAGGGAGGGAGGAGGGUGAGCAGAUCAAAGUGCGGUCGAGAGAAAAAAACUAAGGCGCGAGCAAACGGGGAGAAUCGACGAGACGCGGAGGGGGAACGUUUAGUAAACACCUCCGCGCACGAGGAGCGGGGCCGGAAUUAAAAAAAAAAAAAAAAAGGAAAAAAAGGGGAGUCGUUUAAGAAUCAUCGCAGCGCCGAGAUUAUAUACGCGCGACACCGCCGGGAGACGGGAAGACGUAAGCGCGUCGGCGGCGGCGGCGGUUGCGGUACACAUACGAACGAGUGUACUCUUAUUGUUAUCGUAUUGUUGAAAUAUAUGCGUGUACGUAAAAUAUUUUAUACUUCCCGUUCCCGCCCUGGUCCGCGGUGGCGGGACGACCAUUGUACACCGCGAAAGUAUUAUUUCUCCCCCCCCUCACUCCCUCUCUCUCACACUCUCUCUCUCUCUCCCCCCCACCCCUCCCGGGCGAGCGGACGAGCGCGUCAUAAGGAAUAUAACAACAACAAUAAUAAUAAUAAUAAUAAUAUACCCGUGCGAACGUUACGAACGCCGAGCGGCGCAAAAACCGAGCGCGGUGUGUCUGCGCCCGGUGCAACCGCAGCACUGAGCGUACCGUUAAUGUUAUUAUUAUUAUUAUUAUUAUUACGUAUUACGUAUUAUUAGACACCGCGCCCGACUGUACGCGCGCGUAGCGUUGUCCCAUUGUUCCGUCGGCCGAUCUUCGCGGUAAACCCUUCCCAUCGCCCCUCAUCCCAUCUCCUUUUGACACACACACGCGCGCGGUCGUCUGUCUCCCGCCGCGCGACGACGAAUCGCACUUCGGGGUUUUUUUUUUUUUUUGUUUUUUUUUCAUAUAUAUAUACACGUUUUCCCAACGCCUCCCCCCCUCCCGCCAAUCGCCGUCCCCCCACACCCGCGAAGUGACGGAGAAACGCGCUUCCCGGUACGGACAUCGCGCGAAUGACGGCGAUGGGAAUGACGAGUAUACAACUGUACGCAUAAUAAAUUUUCCCGCAUUUUGAUCCGAAGCCCGCGAGCCCCGUCGUUGGUGGCUUUUGCGCCGCGCGUUGCGUCUGUGUAACGCUAUUGACAAUGCCGUGACGGUCGUCACGGUGACAACGGUAAAAAGACGCGGUCGCAACAGUUGAAUAAAAUUUAUACGACACGCGCUUCGAAUUAAACGACCGCCGUCGACCGAAAGCGUGUGUCGCGUGGCAUUUGGCAAUCUAUACAUGUGUAUAAAUAUACUGUAUGUGAUCUCGUCGAAAAUCCAUCGGAUAAACCGGCGACGAAAAGAAAUACAGUUAGCGUGCCGAAUACGAAUCGUCGUCAGUCGGGCGUUCAGUUCGACGACCUUUCUCGUUUCUUUUUUUUCUAUUUUUUUUUUUUUUUUUUUCACCUAACAAUACUACUGCCCCGAUUUAUGGUAAACGCCCACAAUAGUACGCUAUUGCUAUUUCGCGCCAAUCGAAAAGCCCUAUUUUUUGUUUUUAGAAAUUUUUUUUUUUAUGAAAUCUCGCGUGGUCCGCCGCGCGAAAAUGUGUUAUACGUGACGGUUUUUUUAUCAUAUCGCAUUGUACUUCUGCGAACUGGAAUUCAAUACGUUUCCAACAAAACAUCAUUUUCUUCUCUCGGAAACUCUCGUCGUAUAAUCGAUUUAAAAUAUUAAUUUAUAAUAAACGGUUUCGGUUCUUUGGAAACAAUAUUUUCCCGGUGAUAAUUUAAUUUUUGAAUUGGACCGAUCCCAACGUAGCACGGUCGCGGCGGGUGGAGGGAACGAAUGAAAGCUAUUUAAAAACUUUUUAGCAGUGUAUACUUGUAUAUAUUAAGCGCAGUAUUCCGAAUGAUUAUUACGACAUAAAAAACCGUAACUUAAUUUCGUAUAUUUUUGCAAAAAGCAAUUACUUCCUUUCUUUCGGCCAUGUCAGCGCGCGCGUUACUAUGAUAAUAUGUAUUCUUUUGUUACCCGGUCGUCGACAAUCGAAUUUCAGGAGUAGAUGCGUACGCGAGUAGAUUUUAUUGUUUAAGGUACACAUACAUUGAUUAUUAUUAUUGCUAUCGUCUCGAAAGUCGUUUUUUUUUUUUUAUAAUUUUUUUUUUUUGUUCUGGUAUUCUUUAUUCACGAGCUCUUGGAUUUGUACACGUUUUUUCAAUUGAAUAUCUUCGAAAAUACGCCGUCGUUAUUCCCGCGCCGUCUUUUACCGCGGUUACGAUUCGGAUAAAAAAAAAAAAAAAACCUUACUAUAAAUAAUAACCGGUGGGUAUAUGUCAAAAUCGUUUAAAUAUAUUGCACGGUUAUUUCUGUGUUAUCUACUCUACAGUAUACCCGACCACGACGAAUUUAGAUCGUGCAGAUUGUCCGCGUUUGUUGUGUAUACCUGCGCUUAUCCAAACGUAUAGUCUGCAAAGGAAAAAAUGUGCUCUUCCGACGCGCAACGACCAAAAAUAUAGACAUUAUUUUAUUUGCGUACCUGUGUAUAUAAACGCCAAUCGACUUUUGAAAACGGCACAAAACAAUUAAUGUAACCGAUUUGCGUUAUAAUAAUAUUAACAAUGACAAUGAAAAAACAAAGUGAAAUAACAAUUAUUACGACAAAAUAAAAUUAUUUUUAAAGCCAAAUAUACGUCAUGUUGUCGUCAUUAAACAUUAUUACGAUUUAAGGAACGCACAAGAUCGUUCAUCGAAAAAUUAGACCGAUAGGUCGAAUAUAAUAAAGUAUAUGAAUUAUAUUAUAUUUGUAUAUCAUAUAUAGUACAGGCGUGUCAAACUCGUAGUAUUACUCGGGCCAAAACGUCUGUACGGAAAAAAGUGGUGGUCGCAAAAUAAAAAAUUAUUUCUAAAAUAAUUGAAUUUAUUAUGAACAGUUAAAUAUGUUUACGUUUCAUUAUUACAUUAAAAUACGUUUCCCAUACACAAAUAAAAAACUAAAAAUAUACAAUUUGUAUUCAUUUUUCUUCCCGGAUAUCUGGCAUUUUUUUCUGCCACCAACUUUCCUAUUUCAGAAGGUUUAUUGCUCUAUAAUACUUAUAGAGAUGAUAAGUUACUCGCGACGAAUAGUAGUUUGUGGUAGACCACUGCAAACGAAUGGCGUCGGGAUAAAUCAGUACCAUAUGUACUUUACCAAUAAUUUACUGAUCAAUUAGACGAAAAUAUAUACAAUAGUUCAGUGUUUUCUGUAAAAUAGAGUUUGAGUCUGGAAUACUUUUAACUAUUUAAUGGAAGCUGAUUUAUUACAUACAAAAGCAAUGGAUCUAAUAUUAUAAUGGCAAUCAGUUAUCAUAACGGCAAAAUCGAAAAUAGCCGUGUAAAAAUGUUCCGACAAAAUUGACCACGUUCCAAAAUAACGCGAGGAAAACAUGGCCAAACACAAAAAAAAAUGAUCAAAUAAAAUCAUGUGUCCGGAGGAUAAUAUGGCCAGAGAAAUGUAUGACCAAAUACAAGAACGGCCAUUUACGAACACAUUUUAUCUCCAUUUUUUCCGGGGCCGUGGGAAUAUUUUUAUUUGGAAAUAAUAAUUCUCCAUUGAACGUUUUUAUACUUGGCCGUUAUUUAUUCAGUUAUAGUAUUGGUUAGACUGGACAAUACAAUACCACGCCGAUACGUAAUACAGGUGCAUAAAAAAAAAAUAAAAUAAACGACCAAAAACAAGCCGUUUACAAUAUUAUUGUCCGGUCGGUUUAACUACAAUUAUUGUGUAUUAAUAUUUUUGUUGCGAUAAAUAUCUAACAUUAUUGAAUUAUUGUUCGUGUUUCAGGUAGACGGGAGACAUCGUAACUUCGAACCUGUGUACGUGUGGAUGUUUCCGAAACACAAUGUACUCAACAUAUUAUUAUUAUUAUACUUGAAGAACGAGAGAAAUAAAAAAAAAAUCAAAACCAUUUAUAAUAAUAAUAAUAUGUUUGGCUCGGUUAAAACAACGAGAGAACGUUUUAAUUAAAACGCAGUUCAACG